GAUGAACGCUGGCGGCGUGCCUAAUACAUGCAAGUCGAGCGAACAGAUGAGGAGCUUGCUCCUCUGACGUUAGCGGCGGACGGGUGAGUAACACGUGGAUAACCUACCUAUAAGACUGGGAUAACUUCGGGAAACCGGAGCUAAUACCGGAUAAUAUAUUGAACCGCAUGGUUCAAUAGUGAAAGACGGUUUUGCUGUCACUUAUAGAUGGAUCCGCGCCGCAUUAGCUAGUUGGUAAGGUAACGGCUUACCAAGGCAACGAUGCGUAGCCGACCUGAGAGGGUGAUCGGCCACACUGGAACUGAGACACGGUCCAGACUCCUACGGGAGGCAGCAGUAGGGAAUCUUCCGCAAUGGGCGAAAGCCUGACGGAGCAACGCCGCGUGAGUGAUGAAGGUCUUCGGAUCGUAAAACUCUGUUAUUAGGGAAGAACAAAUGUGUAAGUAACUAUGCACGUCUUGACGGUACCUGAUCAGAAAGCCACGGCUAACUACGCG
rnacentral:rRNA from 1 species